rnacentral:sRNA from 1 species
GGAAGGAUCAUUAUUGAAUGAACUUGGUGUGGUUGUUGCUGGCCCUCUCGGGGGCAUGUGCACACCCGCCAUCCUCAUCUCUCCACCUGUGCACCUUUUGUAGACCUGGAUGGACUUUCCGAGGCAACUCGGUCGGGAAGAUUGCUGCGCUCUGUGUGCCAGCUUUCUUUGCAUGUCCAGGCCUAUGUUUUUCAUAUACCCCUAUAGAAUGUAACAGAAUGUAUCAUUGGGCCUUGUGCCUAUAAACCUUAUACAACUUUCAGCAACGGAUCUCUUGGCUCUCGCAUCGAUGAAGAACGCAGCGAAAUGCGAUAAGUAAUGUGAAUUGCAGAAUUCAGUGAAUCAUCGAAUCUUUGAACGCACCUUGCGCUCCUUGGUAUUCCGAGGAGCAUGCCUGUUUGAGUGUCAUUAAAUUCUCAACCUUAUUAGCUUUUGUUGAUAAUGGAUUGGAUGUGGGGGUUUCUUUUGCUGGCUUCUUCACAGAGAUCAGCUCCCCUUAAAUGCAUUAGCUGGUGCCCCGCGUGGACCAUCUAUUGGUGUGAUAAUUAUCUACGCCGUGGAUGUCUGCAAUCAUAUGGGUUUUGCACUGCUUCUAACCGUCUGUUCAUUCGGACAAUACAUGACAAUUUGACCUCAAAUCAGGUAGGACUACCCGCUGAACUUAAGCAUAUCAAUAAG